rnacentral:rRNA from 1 species
GACGAACGCUGGCGGCGUGCUUAACACAUGCAAGUCGAACGGAAAGGCCCUGCUUUUGUGGGGUGCUCGAGUGGCGAACGGGCGAGUAACACGUGAGUAACCUGCCCUUGACUUUGGGAUAACUUCAGGAAACUGGGGCUAAUACCGGAUAGGAGCUCCUGCUGCAUGGUGGGGGUUGGAAAGUUUCGGCGGUUGGGGCUGGACUCGCGGCUUAUCAGCUUGUUGGUGGGGUAGUGGCUUACCAAGGCUUUGACGGGUAGCCGGCCUGAGAGGGUGAGCGGCCACAUUGGGACUGAGAUGCGGCCCAGACUCGUAGGGGAGGCAGCAGUGGGGAAUAGUGCACAAUGGGGGGAAGCCGGAAGCAGCAACGCCGCGUGCGGGAUGACGGCCUUCGGGUUGUAAACCGCUUUCGCCUGGGACGAAGGGUGAGUGACGGUAAUGGGUAAAGAAGCACCGGCUAACUACGUG